GAAUGGGGUACAACUGCGCAAGCACGUGAAAGUUAGCCCAUGAGGCAGCGGGAGAAUUUAAAAAGCAAGCAAAUUAACAGAGCGGGCAAUGGAGUAGAGGAGACAGAGUGGGAAGCCUUUGGCUCAAGAGGUUUCGGCGAGCAGAGGCUGAGGACGAGCUUCACUCCAAGUCAGGUGAGGCCAGCAUUUAUACAUUACUGACGAGCAACCUAUUUGAAGAGUCUCCAGCUGCAGCCUUUGAAGUAUUUAAUCUAAAAGAGCCUAUUUGCUUGUCAACUCGACAUAGGGACCUGAACAACUGACAUGAAGGGAACAAAAUGAUUGUUGCAUGUGAAGGAAAAUAUACCAUCCAGAACAUUAUGGGCAAUGGGGAACGCAUGUCAAAGGCUAAGUAGGUACUGAGGAUUGUGUAGAGUUUCUGGUAGCUGCAAGGGAGUUGCUCCUCACCCUGCCAUCACCAUCCUUGCCCCGCACCCUGCUGCCUUGCACCCUACUGCAAUAAUCAUGUAAAAAGGAAUAAGCUUGUGGAGAGAGGCACACAUGCAUUUGCCAGGCAUUUAGAGGGAAAUAAAGAAAUAUAAUAGAAUUUAUGAAAAAUUACAUAAACAAAGACAGACAAACAAUCAAUCUGCAGAAGAAAGGAAAUUGCACACAUACAAAUAAAUGAAAAGUCAAAUAAUACUAAGAAGGAUAGGAAGACCAGCAUUAGGCCGCCUUUACAGGCCACCUCUAGAAAGAGUAAGACUCUGAUAUGCUCAGUUACCUCUGGUAAGUAAGUGAGCCACAUCUUCCACAUGUCUGAUACAAGUCUACUGAAGCGAGCACUCUGCUCGGCACUUCGGCAUAACAAAACAUCUCCGGAAGAACGGAUCCAGGACAUCCUGGGAACAUCCCUGAAAAAUCUGGCUUCCUCACCAGCUCAUGAAAAUCACUGACUCUUGUAAAAGUGGCACAGAAACAUCUGAUUCAGCAAAAAAACUCUUCAGAUCUCUCCACUGAGAGCUCAUGUAGGCCAAGGUCGAGCAGUGGGAAAAGUACAAGCAUUCGGCAUCACCAGCUCUUGUAACUCUUUCUUUCUCACCAGCUAGCCACCCAAACAUUCCUUCCUCGUGAAGCAGAAGUCCAUGCAUUUCUUCCAAUUAGACCACUGCAUUCAGUGCUCAUUAUGUAUCCCCCUUCUCACUGGAGAACCCAAGUGCAGAUUCAGUGAUUGCUUUGCAGAACACCUUCAUUCCAUUCACAAGGGCAACCCCCAGCUUCCAGUCACCUACUAUUUCCAAACUGACGUCGUAUCAGUUGAUUGAAAAGUAUAUAAAGGACACACCACAAUGAACAGUACACUGAUGUCUCCUCACAUGGUGACGACAUGUUUGGAAGUACAUUGCCAAGAUCAGAGACAACUCAACCCAACCAUCAACCUCCCAAGCUACGCAUCUUCAGAAUUAUUUCCAACCAAUCAUUUUAAUUCUCUAUGCUAUCCCUCCAAAAUUGGCCACUGACCUUACUUUGAUGCAGACCAGCAUAAACUGAUGAACACAGAACCUCUAGACAUGUUAUUGGAAGGGGUGGGGGUGGUUCCUUUGCAGACCACUCUCCCAAAGCAGGAAAGCUCGGAUAUGCUGCCACAAAGACCAGGUACCUCGGUCCAUUCUGACCUGUGUGGAGUCUGCGCAUUCGCUGAAUGGAUUUCUGCUGGGUGACCUUGGUUUUCUCCAACAAAAUUCACGGCACAUGCCAGUGAUACUAAACUUGAUUCUGAUUCUGAUACGCUCAUAGUUUGAGGGGCUACCGUCAAUGAGCUUUUCAAAGAAUCAGAAAGGAAUUAAAGUACACGUGAGAGGUAGGUCUGGAUACAAGUAGAAGGAUGAUGUUGGACCAGACAGUAUAAUUGUUAUUUUCCUUGUAGUUUAAUUUUCUUAUGCUUGCCUGCAUUUUUAUAUCUUUGCCUAUGUAUAUAUAGCCUCUUAGUUGCAGUUGUGGGUACUACAUUACUUGAAUAGGCACUAUCUGAUUAGUUAACUGACAUCCAUGGAAAUCCAAUGGAAUUAGCAAACUGGUAUAAGAUGAGCCACCUUGGUUAGUUCCCUUGCCCCCUCCCCCCUCCCUCCCCCUCUCUCCC